rnacentral:rRNA from 1 species
GCCCUACGGGGGGCAGCAGUGAGGAAUAUUGGUCAAUGGACGGAAGCCUGAACCAGCCAAGUCGCGUGAGGGAAUAAGGCCCUACGGGUCGUAAACCUCUUUUGCCGGGGAGCAAGGGCCGGGACGCGUCCCGGCCCGGAGAGUACCCGGAGAAAAAGCAUCGGCUAACUCCGUGCCAGCAGCCGCGGUAAUACGGAGGAUGCGAGCGUUAUCCGGAUUUAUUGGGUUUAAAGGGUGCGUAGGCGGGAUUUUAAGUCAGCGGUAAAAAUUCGGGGCUCAACCCCGUCCGGCCGCUGAAACUGGGG